GUUUGUGUAGGCAAACUGCUCUUUACUUGACUCUGUGAAGCAAAAGGAAAAAUUCAAUAUCAAGUAAACAAACCACAUCAAAAGAUUCAUGGUCUUUAGAGAAAUUUAUGAGAAUGCCAUGUCAGACAUCAAAGAGCUGUUGAAGUUGUCAAAUUUCAGUUUGUUUCUGUAACUACAGAGAAAGCAAUCUGGGACAUUAGGCUGCAGUCCCAUGCUCCUCAUCCUUCAGCAAAACCAAUGCAG